UCAAUGGCAAUGAAAGAGAAAAGUAAGAUAAAUACAACUUACAGAGAGGAAAUGUUAUAGGCUGAAAGCAUUUCUAGUUUAAGAUUUAUCAGAAGUUCACUCUGGAGCUAUGGAGCUGAAAGUUAUUAGUAAGCUUUAUCGGAUAACACCGUUAUAAUGUCGCAAGAGAUGUUAAGAAUAAAUAUUAAUCUUAUAUCUUAAUAUUAUAUAUGCAUAUAAGUUUUAUUAUAAUAGUGUUGUCCAUAUCUGUUUCUUAACAAAAAGGGUGGUACCGCGAUGAGAACCUUCGUCCCUUGU
rnacentral:ncRNA from 1 species